UACGUAGGUGGCGAGCGUUGUCCGGAUUUACUGGGCGUAAAGGGAGCGUAGGCGGACUUUUAAGUGAGAUGUGAAAUACCCGGGCUCAACUUGGGUGCUGCAUUUCAAACUGGAAGUCUAGAGUGCAGGAGAGGAGAAUGGAAUUCCUAGUGUAGCGGUGAAAUGCGUAGAGAUUGGGAAGAGCACCAGUGGCGAAGGCGAUUCUCUGGACUGUAACUGACGCUGAGGCUCGAAAGCGUGGGGAGCAAACAGGAUUAGAUA
rnacentral:rRNA from 1 species